UCAUGUCCCUGUUUCCCACCUGGGAUCAGAUGGGAAUCCCUAACAGGAGUCCUCCCGUUUUCAGGGGAGGAUGCUCACAUUAAUGAGUAUGAAAUUCAGAGAUGUGCUGACACUUCUGAGCACUCCUGAUCGUGCUUACCCCUAAACUCCUUUGCUAUUGCUGGAAAUCAAAUAGAGCAGAUGUCAACACGCUCAGAACAAGCUCACUUAGCAAAUCCCAGCGUGUUCUCUUACAACUGUUUUUGCAGCAGUUGUCCUGCUCUGCUUAUUGAUGCCUCGUGCUAGUGUUUGGAAUCAUGAAAGCUUCUGAUGAUAGCAGAUCUCGAGAUACAAUUAAAGGACAAAGACAGAUGUCAGCACCCUGGAGGUGCCAUGUGGUUGCGUGGUGUGGUACAUUUGGCAGUGAUGCUAGACAGAGAGGAAGAGCAAGGCAUUUAAAACAUCAGAGUCACAGCCGAAGUCAGACAAAGCCGCAUAUCGGUGCUGGAGACACACUGAAGUGGUAUGUACGCUGAGGGAGCUGCCAGCACUUGUGGUGUUCUCCAAAAGUAUUCAUGACUCAACAGAUCUGCAGUGAACCUGCUUAUCUUAGAUAUCCAUAUGGCCUUAUGGUGUUCGUUAGGAGAGCAACAUUAGGACCAGCUACAGUUUCAGAACAGGAAGGAUGCGUUUCUCACCCUCUGGAGGUCCUUCUUGCUUCUCAGGGAUGAGACCAGGCAAUGUAUAAAUGAUUUGUCAACAGUUGGCUUAAAGAGGCGUUCGUAGCACAGAUCAGGAGAAUUUUAGUAACAGACCAUUCAAAUGGCUUUAGCUUUAUUUUAGGAAUUAUAUUGCUGAAGCACUUCCCUGAGACCAGGCCUCCUAGUUUAGAUGCACUACACAAGCAUCUUGUAAGGAACAGUAUUUAGCUGCAGAGGCCUUACGCUCUCAUGGAGCAGACGGACGAUGUAUGUAUGGAAGGCGAGGCGUGAAGUUUCCAGGCUUGCUCAGUCUUGGGGAUCUUCCAAAAGUGGCAGAGUGAACAAGUCAGGAGAAACCAGGAAUCAGUCUCCCUGCGUGGGACAGUCAACCUCCUCAUGGAUUUGGAAAACAAUAAAAUUAAUCCGUAAAACUUAAAAACAGAAAGAAGUGGAUAAUCCUACUGUUUCAGCUGACCACAGACUGCCUUUAUAUCUUUUUAUACUUACAUGCUUUGAUACUUCAUAUACUUUUUAGUAUUCCCACGCAGUGUUUUUAUAUUUAUUUGGAAAAACAACAAAAACUGUUCGGAAUAACACAGCAGUCCUAAACCUGAUUCUCUUGUUUUCUCAGGAGUUCUAGAUGCGAUCCUGACCUCAGGAGAGACACUUAAAUAGAAAGUCGAAGGAAACUCCAGGCUGGGCCCGGCCCUGUAUUUCAGGAGAGGCAGGUUGUUUGCAAACUUUGGAGCCCAAAAGGUGCAGCCGCUCUAAAAAUAACACAGGAUACAAGAACUGGUUUGGGAAGGUUUCGCUCUGCCCAAGUCCAGAGGCAUCUCCUGAAAUGCUGCCAUGAGGGGAGAAGUUUGCCUUGUAAACAGAGCCGGCCUAAUUUCUAGAGGUGCCGAGCGUCGACCUGCAGUGCCCGCUGGGUGACAUCCCCAGUGACCUGGUGCCUAGCUUCCAGAGGAGCCCAGCAGCCUUGCUGUCCAGGUGCAGAAGCCCCUGGAAGGUUUUUCGCGGAGAUCAAAGAGGGAGGAACCUGGCUGCAGAGCCCUGAGCGCGUCUGGGACUGAUCACAGGCGAGAGCCUCAGCAGUGUCCCCUCGCCCACGCAAGAUGUGAUGCUGGGUGAGGUGUGCCUUGCACAGAGCAUGGACGUAACCUUCUCUAUUUUUGAUUUGCUGGAUCUUUAAAACAUACAAGGUUGUAUCUACCAGUGAAUUAAGCACUGUUUGCUUUUCAGACCUUCCACAUUUGUAUUUUUAGCUCCAUUUUGGCAUUGACUUUUUUGGUUGGAAUAUAUAACACACUCAGUUAUUUAGCGUGCCUGGACCGAAUUCAGCCUAUGUGUAACUCCACGGGCUUGAGCAGAAGCUACGUUCAAGGUAAAUUGCUCUCUAUGGGGCGAAGGAAAUACAGCUUCUGUAGAAACGCGUUUCAGCUCCUUCAGUAAACGCUCCACUAUUUCCAUCCAUGGUUAUUCCGUUGUGGUUUGGGUUAUGUAUUUACAUUUUACGGAAUAAAUACUACAGCUUUCCCCAUGACUAACACUUCUUAGUAACCAAUAAGCUACUCAAAUACACUAUUGCCUCCUACAAGAGCCUAAACCACAUCGCUCUCCACUGGCUUUCUGUCCCCAGCUGGCCGCCUCCUUGCACAGAGGCAUGGUUAACCAGCAUUACAUAAGUAACUUUUUGGAUCUCGCUUUAACGGGACAGCUUCCGAGAGGAGGCACUGGAUGCUGUGGGACCGAAUUCCUCAGCGACAAACAUUUCCAACGCAGCCGCUACCAAAACCUGACUGAGGUCUUCAGGCGAGGAGAGGGACAUCUCGCUGCUGCUCGCACAAAGAGGCAGCGAGUUGCUUUUCCAUAUCCAGAGGUCUGUUUUAAGAGCAGCGUUGUACAGGCCCUUGCAUAAACUUUGCUUUUAGACUGGAAUAUUUUCAAUGAAAAUGUUAUUCGACUUUAAAAAGUUGCACAGCAGCUACUCCAAAAAUUGUUUCCCCUUGUUAAGAAUAACACACAGUGUGAUACAUUUGAAAUGGUGAUAGCAAUAUUUCACAAAUUUUGAUGGAUUCAUAGUCCAAAUACCUUGCUAACAGAUGUUUCUUUUAAGCUCGGAGUGGUAUAGGAAUAACUCAGAGAUAUUACAGUGUCAGCACUGCCUUUUAUCUGCGUGUGUCCUCUCAGUGACAUCCCUGGGCUUUUGUAAUGCACGGGUCGGGUCUGAGCUAAAAAAAAAUAAUAAGUGAAAUAUUAAAGGAAGUCCCAUCUGCUGGCUGUGUGAGCUUCGGGGCAGUGCCUCAGGGCUGUGAGCAAGCUGACGCGCGCUGCCCCGCUCCCGCUCUGUGCUUGGGCACGGCGGCCUGGUGGUUUGUGGGACUCCGCUGCUUUCCACUCAUCGUUUCUCAGCCGGCUCUUGGCUGUGGUUCAUCUACGAGCUGGGGAGUCCCCAUGGCCAACCCUCUGACCGUAUCUUUUGGUCUUACCAUUUUACAAACCUUUCCCUCUGUGGAUGAUGCCUUGUCCAACCCAGAGGGACACCUCAGCAAGGCAAAGGGAUGGCAUUUUAGCACCCUGGCGGAGCUCUU